GUGGGGAAUAUUGGACAAUGGGCGAAAGCCUGAUCCAGCCAUGCCGCGUGUAUGAAGAAGGUCUUCGGAUUGUAAAGCACUUUAAGUUGGGAGGAAGGGCAGUAAGUUAAUACCUUGCUGUUUUGACGUUACCGACAGAAUAAGCACCGGCUAACUUCGUGCCAGCAGUCGCGGUAAUACGAAGGGUGCAAGCGUUAAUCGGAAUUACUGGGCGUAAAGCGCGCGUAGGUGGUUUUGUAAGUUGGAGGUGAAAUCCCCGGGCUCAACCUGGGAACAGCCUCCAAAACUGCAUGACUAGAGUACGGUAGAGGGUAGUGGAAUUUCCUGUGUAGCGGUGAAAUGCGUAGAUAUAGGAAGGAACACCAGUGGCGAAGGCGACUACCUGGACUGAUACUGACACUGAGGUGCGAAAGCGUGGGGAGCAAACAGGAUUAGAAACCCCUGUAGUCC
rnacentral:rRNA from 1 species